rnacentral:ncRNA from 1 species
GCGGCAAAAGUUGUUCGUGGUACCUGACAGCCCUGCGAGCUGUCAGGUGAAACGGGAAGCAGGUGUAAAUCCUGCGCUGCCCCCGCAACGGUAUGGGAGUGAGGAGUCGUCAGGAAGCCACUGGACUAUGGUCUGGGAAGGCGACGAUUCAAGACUUCCGAGCCCGGAGACCGGCCACGGACAUCACCAUGGAA